UGAAAUGUUUAGGACCACUUG
rnacentral:miRNA from 15 species